rnacentral:lncRNA from 1 species
CAAAUAAUGAGAAGGCAGGAGUCUGCCGUAGUAGCGACCAAGCGUGAAAAAAAUACUAUGGAGUCCCCAAGGGAAGAGGGAAUGUGGAGAUCAGAGCGCCAUCCUCCUGCGGAAAGCGGAUGGCUGUGCAAAAGAAGUCUGUUUCCUUAAACUCUUCUGCUGAAGGACAGCAGAUUACAUGACACUGUUCCCAUUCUGUUCCUGAAAUUGACCCGAUGAGGGAAGAGGAGGCGUCCCAUCUGACCUAAACGUGGCCAACCAAAAUCUCUCUCCUGAAAAUUUGGAACCAGGUCUCAGAAACUUCAGUUAAUAAAUUAUGAAGCCCUGAGACAGAAGGCUGAGUGUUCCAAAGCCACGGAAGAGAGCAGAAAAGGCACGAAGACUAGUGUGCCUGCUCUUGUGAAGCAGUCCAGAGUCCAUUGUGACGACACUUGUAGAAGAUGCAAUGACGUGCACAAAUCCACCCCGGUUGGGGAGUUGGGGGGAGGGGAAAGGCCCCACUACGCUACAAAAAAUGUCCUGGGCUUGAGGCUUCCCCAAGCCACGCGAGAUCUGCCCAAACCUAAAGCGGAACCUCCGAGGGUACGUUUGCGCAUGCCCCUGACUAAUCCUUUGUAGCGCGAGCAAGUUUUGAAACUUUCUGCCGCGUUAAUAGUAAACUAAAUCUGGCCCUUCGGAAAGGUCUGAGGGGUUCAAGCACACAACACUACAUCCUUCGAGACUUUGCCGUCACAACUCUGCAUGAUUGCAUGGUCGUCCCCUCUUUCCGUUACUAUAUAUUGGCCGUGAAUUCUGUGUGAGAGGUAGUUUCGGCCAAUCCAGUAGUAUAGGAGUGGGGGUGGGAGAGCGGACCCAGGUUUUAAAAUGAGGAUGAUGCCUUUUAUGUGUUUGGAAAGAUAACUCAGGGAGCGACUUGAAAGAAUAAAAUCUGAGGGGGGCCAAGUUUUUUUUUUUUUCCCCCUUACUGGAGACUCAGGGAGACUGUGCUGAACUAAGGUAAUUCGGUGGGAAGGAGAAGAUGGGAAAGUUUGAGAGAGAAAUGAAGGCAGUAACUAUACAGCACACGGGAGAGGUGAGACGAGAAAUGCAACUGUUGGCAGUAGAAAAAGUUCCUUAAAGUAGUGUGAACCUAUGCAUGUUUGUAAACAGAAGGGUAGAAAUGAUUAGGGCAUGGUUUGUAAGGGGAAGAUUGGGAAGUCCCUGAAUGAGUAGAACAAGGAGGAUUCUAAAAACCAUAGUCCUGAACAAGGGCUGAGGUUGGAUUAGAAAGAACGGUUUAAGAUCACAGGAGUCAGGAAUUUGGGAACUGUCUUGAGAGAACUGACUAAUCUUACCUCUUUUGCAGGAUACAGGGGACACCUGCACAAGCUUUGGAUUUUGCCCUGCAACAUCUGAAAGGUACCAUCCAGACACCUGAAGUGCUCUCUCCCAGUAAGUCCUCUGGUUCCUACCACCUCCCAUCCACCCUAUACCUCAGCCAGAAUGAAAUGUGGAUUUCGUGGAGUGAAAUGGUGGAAUUUAGUUACCAAGUCCCUUAGACAUACCACUGGUGCAUUACAAAAAGACAUACUUGUAGCUCUGGCUUCCCAGUUCCCUAGAUAUCAGAGUCCAUCUUGAUACUGGCAGCAGUUUUAUGCAGCUUAGCCACUAUAUGUUGAUUCUUUGUGUACUGUCUGGAGUACAAGGCAGAGGAGGGAUGGAGUACAUAAUUUUACUAACCCUCCAAAGCAGUGGUUUGUAGGUAGUAGUAUAGCUUCAUCU